AUUGAACGCUGGCGGCAGGCCUAACACAUGCAAGUCGAACGAGUGGCGGACGGGUGAGAAAUGUCGGGGAAAGUGCCUGAGGGGGGGGGAAAACUACGGGACACGGGAGCUAAUCCCGCAAACCAUGGUGAGUGCACAUAUGGGAUUAGCUAGAAGGUGGGGUAAAGGCUCACCUAGGCCACGAUCCCUAGCUGGUCUGAGAGGAUGAUCAGCCACACUGGGACUGAGACACGGUCCAGACUCCUACGGGAGGCAGCAGUGGGGAAUAUUGCACAAUGGGCGCAAGCCUGAUGCAGCCAUGCCGCGUGUAUGAAGAAGGCCUUAGGGUUGUAAAGUACUUUCAGUGGGGAGGCGUUACCGACAGAAGAAGCACCGGCUAACUCCGUGCCAGCAGCCGCGGUAAUUC
rnacentral:rRNA from 1 species